rnacentral:rRNA from 1 species
AUUGAACGCUGGCGGCAGGCCUAACACAUGCAAGUCGAACGGUAACAGGAAGACGCUUGCUUCUUUGCUGACGAGUGGCGGACGGGUGAGUAAUGUCUGGGAAACUGCCUGAUGGAGGGGGAUAACUACUGGAAACGGUAGCUAAUACCGCAUAACGUCGCAAGACCAAAGAGGGGGACCUUCGGGCCUCUUGCCAUCGGAUGUGCCCAGAUGGGAUUAGCUAGUAGGUGGGGUAACGGCUCACCUAGGCGACGAUCCCUAGCUGGUCUGAGAGGAUGACCAGCCACACUGGAACUGAGACACGGUCCAGACUCCUACGGGAGGCAGCAGUGGGGAAUAUUGCACAAUGGGCGCAAGCCUGAUGCAGCCAUGCCGCGUGUAUGAAGAAGGCCUUCGGGUUGUAGAGUACUUUCAGCGGGGAGGAAGGGAGUAAAGUUAAUACCUUUGCUCAUUGACGUUACCCGCAGAAGAAGCACCGGCUAACUCCGUG